GCCGGAGUGGAGGAAUUGGCAGACUCGCAGUCUUCAGAAGGCUGUUCCAAUUAUUGGAGUGUGGGUUCGAGUCCCAUCUCCGGCACCA
rnacentral:tRNA from 1 species